rnacentral:rRNA from 1 species
AUUGAACGCUGGCGGCAGGCCUAACACAUGCAAGUCGAGCGAGCGGCGGACGGGUGAGUAAUGUAUGGGGACUGCCCGAUAGAGGGGGAUAACUACUGGAAACGGUAGCUAAUACCGCAUACUAUCGGAUAACCCAUAUGGGAUUAGCUAGUAGGGUGGGAAAUGGCUCACCUAGGCGACGAUCCCGAGCUGGGCUGAGAGGAUGAUCAGCCACACUGGGACUGAGACAAGGCCCAGACUCCUACGGAGGCAGCAGUGGGGAAUAUUGCACAAUGGGCGAAAGCCUGAUGCAGCCAUGCCGCGUGUAUGAAGAAGGCCCUAGGGUUGUAAAGUACUUUCAGUCGGGAGGCGUUACCGACAGAAGAAGCACCGGCUAACUCCGUGCCAGCAGCCGCGGUAAUUC